CGGCGGACGGGUGAGUAACGCGUGGGUAACCUGCCUCAUACAGGGGAGUAACAGUUAGAAAUAGGCUGCUAAUACCGCAUAAGACCACGGUACUGCAUGGUACAGUGGUAAAAACUCCGGUGGUAUGAGAUGGCCCCGCGUCUGAUUAGGUAGUUGGUGAGGUAACGGCCCACCAAGCCGACGAUCAGUAGCCGACCUGAGAGGGUGACCGGCCACAUUGGGACUGAGACACGGCCCAG
rnacentral:rRNA from 1 species